UACGGGGGGGCAAGCGUUGUUCGGAAUUACUGGGCGUAAAGGGCCAGUAGGCGGCCAACUAAGUCGGAUGUGAAAUCCCCAGGCUUAACCUGGGAACUGCAUCCGAUACUGGAUGGCUUGAAUUCGGGAGAGGGAUGCAGAAUUCCAGGUGUAGCGGUGAAAUGCGUAGAUAUCAGGAGGAACACCGGUGGCGAAGGCGGGUCUCUGGGCCGUAACUGACGCUGAGGAGCGAAAGCAUGGGGAGCGAACAGG
rnacentral:rRNA from 1 species